rnacentral:rRNA from 1 species
UACGAAGGAUUCGAGCGUUAUCCGGAUUUAUUGGGUUUAAAGGGUGCGUAGGCGGACUGAUAAGUCAGUGGUGAAAGCCUGUUGCUUAACAACAGAACUGCCAUUGAUACUGCCAGUCUUGAGUAUAGUUGAGGUAGGCGGAAUGUGUCAUGUAGUGGUGAAAUACUUAGAUAUGACACAGAACACCGAUUGCGAAGGCAGCUUGCUAAACUAUAACUGACGCUGAGGCACGAAAGCAUGGGGAGCAAACAGG